rnacentral:rRNA from 1 species
GAGUUUGAUCAUGGCUCAGGAUGAACGCUAGCGGCAGGCUUAACACAUGCAAGUCGAGGGGUAUAGUUCUUCGGAAUUAGAGACCGGCGCACGGGUGCGUAACGCGUAUGCAAUCUACCUUUCACAGAGGGAUAGCCCAGAGAAAUUUGGAUUAAUACCUCAUAGUAUAACGACUCCGCAUGGAGAUGUUAUUAAAGUCACAACGGUGAAAGAUGAGCAUGCGUCCCAUUAGCUAGUUGGUAAGGUAACGGCUUACCAAGGCUACGAUGGGUAGGGGUCCUGAGAGGGAGAUCCCCCACACUGGUACUGAGACACGGACCAGACUCCUACGGGAGGCAGCAGUGAGGAAUAUUGGACAAUGGGCGCAAGCCUGAUCCAGCCAUGCCGCGUGCAGGAUGACGGUCCUAUGGAUUGUAAACUGCUUUUGCACAGGAAGAAACAACGCUACGUGUAGCGUCUUGACGGUACUGUGAGAAUAAGGAUCGGCUAACUCCGUGCCAGCAGCCGCGGUAAUACGGAGGAUCCAAGCGUUAUCCGGAAUCAUUGGGUUUAAAGGGUCCGUAGGCGGUUUAGUAAGUCAGUGGUGAAAGCCCAUCGCUCAACGGUGGAACGGCCAUUGAUACUGCUAG